AAACCAGCACCUCAAGUGGUCAGGAUGAUUAUUGGGCCUAAAGCAUCCGUAGCCGGCUCUGUAAGGUUUCGGUUAAAUCUGUACGCUUAACGUACAGGCUGCUGGGAAUACUGCAGAGCUAGGGAGUGGGAGAGGUAGACGGUACUCGGGAGGAAGUGGUAAAAUGCUUUGAUCUCUCGAUGACCACCUGUGGCGAAGGCGGUCUACCAGAACACGUCCGACGGUGAGGGAUGAAAGCUGGGGGAGCAAACCGGAUUAGAAACCCGAGUAGUCC
rnacentral:rRNA from 1 species